rnacentral:rRNA from 1 species
GAUAAUUGUGGAAGUUUUUUUGAUGAUCCAAAGUUUGUACAAGAUAUUUCUAUAUGUUCUAUGUAAGUUAGCAUUGAAUGAAUACCUUAGUUUUAAUAAAAAUUAUUUUUAAGUAAUUUUUUUAUAGGUAAUUAUGAUAUAAAUCAGUAUCUAUAAGUUAUUUAAUUAUAGUGAAGUGAAACAUCUCAGUAACUAUAUAUGAAAUUAAAAAAGAAAAGUUAGUAGUGGUGAGCGAAAACUUUUAAAUAGUUUAAAGCAGUUAAUUAAUUGGAAUAUUAGAUUAAAUAAGGUAAUAAUCCUUUAAGCUGUGCUUAACUUUUAUAGUAAAUCGUUAAAAGUUACAAUGAUUGAAUAUAGGAGAACCUUCUUCUAAAUUAUAUUUAUUAAAACUGAUAGUGUACAAGUACCGUGAGGGAAAGGUGAAAAGAAUAUGUAAAGUAAUUGAAAAGAAUAUGAAAUUCGAUGUUUUAUCAGUUGGUGCUUAAGCUGCAACGUACCUUUUGUAUAAUGGACCGAUAAGUUAAUUUUAAUAGCAAGCUUAAUUAAUUGUAGGCUAUAUUUAUAUAAGAUAGUUAUUAGAAUUAGACCCGAAGCUUUGUGAUCUAAUCAUGAACAGAUUGAUACGUAAGUUGAGGAUCGAACCGGUGAAUGUUGCAAAAUUCUCGGAUGAUUUGUGAUUAGGGGUGAAAGGCCAAUCAAACAAAGUGAUAGCUGGUUUUCCGUGAAAUUUAUGUAAGUAAAGACUAUAUAUAAAAUAAAAAAAGGUAUAAGAAUUAAAUUAAAUUUAAUAAAAAAAAAAUUUUUUUUAUUUUAAUAUAGAUUCAGUUAUAAAGCGCUAAAGUUUUUUAACGAGAGGGAAACAACCCAGAUUGAUUGUUAAAGUUCAUAAAAUUUUUUAAUAUUUAAGAUAAUUUUUUAAUUAUUUAAAGAGUAGGCAUGGAGGCCGCCAUCUUUUAAAAAAAGCGUUAUAGCUUAUUAAAUAUAUUUAAACACGUUUAAGUUUAAUAUUAAAAAAUUAUUAAAAAUAUUGAUAUAAAAAAAUUACUGAAACAUCAAAUACAACUGUAUGGUAACGGAAUGCUUUGUAUAUUAUAGAAGAAAUAUUGAAAGAUAUUUUGGAGAUAUCAAAGGUAAAAAUAUCGGUAUGAGUAACCAAAUAAUGUAAAAACAUUAUAGCCGAAUAUCUAAGAGUUUUAGUGAAAGGAUAAACCACAUUAAGUAACACCAGUCCCUAAGAAUAAAACGAUAGUUGAUUUCGAUGGGUUAGCCUAUUUUGACAAUAAUAUUCUAGAAAUAGAUUAGGCUAGAGAGGACUAGAAAAAAAUUAAAAAAAAAAUUUAUAUUUUUUUUUUAGCUACAUUUUUUUCUUUUCUAAUCCACACUGUAUUAAGUCCAACUCAGGUAUUUAGGUUGAAUAAACCAAGGCUACGAGAGAAUGAUGUUAAAGGAACUUGGCAAAUUAGCUCUGUAACUUCGGAAGAAAGAGUACCGUAGGUAACAUUAAAGAGAGGAUAGCGACUGUUUAAUAAAAACACAGGACUUUGCUAAAUUGAAAAAUGAAGUAUAAAGUCUGACUCCUGCCCGGUGCUGCAAGGUUAAAAUUUUAGGUUUACGCUUAAUAAUAAACCCCAGUAAACGGCGGCCGUAACCCUGACGGUCCUAAGGUAGCAAAAUUCCUUGGCGGGUAAGUUCCGUCCUGCAUGAAUGGAGUAACGACUAUCCUACUGUCUCUAACAUCAUCUUGGUGAAUUUGAAUUGAUUGUGAAGAUGCGAUAAAUACACAGUAAGACGGAAAGACCCUAUGCACCUUUACUAUAACCAUAUAUCAUUAGUUUUUUAUAAUUUGCGUAGAAUAGGUAGGAGUUAAAACAACAGUGAAAUACUACCCUUAUUAUAUUAAAUUAAUUUAAUUUAUAAAAAAAAAAAUAAAUAAAAUAUGUAUGGUGGGUAGUUUAACUGGGGCGGUUACCUCCUAAAAAGUAACGGAGGUGUGAAAUCAUUAAAGAUUAAUUUUUAAUUAAAAAGGAAAUUAAUAAAACGCAAUGGUUUGUUUAAUGAGAUUAAAAUACCUAUAAGUAUUUUAAGAGUCAGUCUUUUUAUAGUGACCCGAUAAAUAAUAAAGGAAUUUUUAUCGAUAAACAGAUAAAAGGUACGCUAGGGAUAACAGGCUAAUAAUUUUCGAGAGUUCUUAUCGACAAAAUUGUUUGGCACCUCGAUGUCGACUCAUCACAUCCUGGAGGUGGAUAAGCUUCCAAGGGUUUGGCUGUUCGCCAAUUAAAGUGGUACGUGAGUUGGGUUAAGAACGUCGUGAGACAGUUUGGUCCCUAUCUACUGUGUAAUAAAAACCUAAAGAAGUUUACCCUAGUACGAGAGGAUCGGGAAGAAUUAACCAAUGGUGUACCAAUUAUUAUAAAAUAUAGUAACGUUGGGUAGCUAAGUUAAGAAUAUAUAAGUACUAUUUAGUGCGAAGAUAGUCUUUAUGGUUUUAAAUAAGUUUUUAUAGAUUAUAUAAUUAUUAAGAAUAAAAAUAUAGAAAUAUAUGGAGUUUAUUAACAUUUAAAAACUUAAAAAAAAAGUAUAACUAUUCUUAUAAUAGAAUU